UAAACAUAUUACCGAAGCUGUGGAUUGUCCUUUGGACAAUGGUAGGAGAGCGUUCUAAGGGCGUUGAAGCAUGAUCGUAAGGACAUGUGGAGCGCUUAGAAGUGAGAAUGCCGGUGUGAGUAGCGAAAGACGGGUGAGAAUCCCGUCCACCGAUUGACUAAGGUUUCCAGAGGAAGGCUCGUCCGCUCUGGGUUAGUCGGGUCCUAAGCUGAGGCCGACAGGCGUAGGCGAUGGAUAACAGGUUGAUAUUCCUGUACCACCUAUAAUCGUUUUAAUCGAUGGGGGGACGCAGUAGGAUAGGCGAAGCGUGCGAUUGGAUUGCACGUCUAAGCAGUAAGGCUGAGUAUUAGGCAAAUCCGGUACUCGUUAAGGCUGA
rnacentral:rRNA from 1 species